rfam:Nematostella vectensis strain CH2 x CH6 NEMVEscaffold_6_Cont1264, whole genome shotgun sequence.
GCAAAGGUUUUUUUUAAAACCAAACAUCGAUAGCUAUAUUUUGUU